UACGGAGGGUGCGAGCGUUGUCUGGAUUUAUUGGGUUUAAAGGGUGCGUAGGUGGCUUAAUAAGUCAGUGGUGAAAUACAGCCGCUCAACGGUUGAGGUGCCAUUGAUACUGUUAAGCUUGAAACAAGUGGAGGUUGCCGGAAUGGAUGGUGUAGCGGUGAAAUGCAUAGAUAUCAUCCAGAACACCGAUUGCGAAGGCAGGUGACUACGUUUGAUUUGACACUGAGGCACGAAAGCAUGGGGAGCAAACAGG
rnacentral:rRNA from 1 species